rnacentral:lncRNA from 1 species
CGCUGCCCCCCCGGCCCUGGCCCUGGCCCCGGCCGUGCGCCCGGCAGCGGCCGCCGUGAGCGCGGGGGGACCCAGCGGCCCUUCCCCGCCUGUGCGCAGCGAUCGCUGCCCGGCGGCAGGAGCAGCCGCCCCGCCGGACCGGGCGUGCUCGGGGCUCUGGGGGGCUCCGGGGCGCUGGCGGAGGAGGGCGGCAUGCCGGAGCACGGAGGCGGUGGUCCCCGGGAGGAGCAGCCCGGGCACCCCCUGUCUAACUCGGAGUUCGGUUGGAAAGGGGAAAUCCGUGGCACGGAGCUGGUGGUGUGGGAUCACCCAUUUGAAUUUGUGCCAAUCUCUACAGGAACCUGAUGCCAGCAAUUUAAGGAUCUUCACAUUCAGUCUCAGUGGAAGCCAGCUCCAAUGGCCUCUGAGCAGAGGAGAAUGCAGGAUGCUGUGUUCACACCAUUGGGGAACCAGUGACCUUGCAACACAAACACCACAAACAACCGCACAAGAGAUUCCAGGGGAAUUUAUUCACCAGCCUCCUGCUCUGCAUCCCAAGCUGGACUCCCACAUCCACUUGGGGAAGGUGGGCAUCUCAUGUUUCUCCCUGUUCUCAGUGCACAGCUCACCCACAUAAGGGAACAUGUACUUGGCCUGCCUUUACUGCCAUAAAAUUCCAUUUCUUCCAUAACCAUAGUAUUUAUAA